rnacentral:rRNA from 1 species
AAACUGGAGAGUUUGAUCCUGGCUCAGAACUAACGCUGGCGGCGUGCCUAACACAUGCAAGUCGUACGAGAAAGUUGGCUUCGGCCGAUGAGUACAGUGGCGCACGGGUGAGUAACGCGUGGAUAAUCUGCCCUUAAGUGUGGAAUAACGUACCGAAAGGUGCGCUAAUACCGCAUAAUGCCUGGCAACAUAAGUUGUCCGGCCAAAGAAGGCCUCUGCUUGCAAGCUUUCGCUAAAGGAUGAGUCCGCGUACCAUUAGCUAGUUGGUGGGGUAACGGCCUACCAAGGCGACGAUGGUUAGCUGGUCUGAGAGGAUGAUCAGCCACACUGGAACUGAGACACGGUCCAGACUCCUACGGGAGGCAGCAGUGAGGAAUAUUGCGCAAUGGGGGCAACCCUGACGCAGCAACGCCGCGUGA